CUUGGUCAUUUAGAGGAAGUAAAAGUCGUAACAAGGUCUCCGUUGGUGAACCAGCGGAGGGAUCAUUACUGAGUUACCGCUCUAUAACCCUUUGUGAACAUACCUACAACUGUUGCUUCGGCGGGUAGGCCGUCCCCUGAAAAGGACGCCUCCCGGCCCGGACCGGACCCCCCGCGGGACCGGACCCGGCGCCCGCCGGAGGAUAACCAAACUCCAUUGUAACGACGUUUCUUCUGAGUGGCAUAAGCAAAAUAAUCAAAACUUUUAACAACGGAUCUCUUGGUUCUGGCAUCGAUGAAGAACGCAGCGAAAUGCGAUAAGUAAUGUGAAUUGCAGAAUUCAGUGAAUCAUCGAAUCUUUGAACGCACAUUGCGCCCGCCAGCAUUCUGGCGGGCAUGCCUGUUCGAGCGUCAUUUCAACCCUCAAGCUCUGCUUGGUGUUGGGGCUCUACGGUCGACGUAGGCCCUCAAAGGUAGUGGCGGACCCUCCCGGAGCCUCCUUUGCGUAGUAACAUUUCGUCUCGCACUGGGAUCCGGAGGGACUCUUGCCGUAAAACCCCCCAAUUUUCCAAAGGU
rnacentral:rRNA from 1 species